AGGUGAAAGAUUGCGCAUCUGUGUUUCUUCUGCAAGACACGCAAGCACCAGUGUCACCCGAAUGCGUUGCACGCACCACGCCAAGACCACUGCUGUCCCGCUGCUGGCGGUAGCGCUGCUGCUGCUGCUGGGGGGAGCCGCACAUACUGCCGCCGCGGCCGAGGCGUCGCGGGUGGUAGAGCUGACCCGUGACACGUUCGAUGCGUACGUUGGCGGGCCCGACACGUAUACGUUUGUGCUGUACUGCGUCACGUGGUCUCGUCAGUGCAAGACGGCGAUUCAGCUGUGGGAUCGCUUGUCGAUCAGUCAGUCGCAGAAGGAGCUGCGGGAUGUCUUCACCGCCGCGUACGUAGACGGCGACAAGUACCCGGACUUGGUCAAGCGGAUGAAUGUGAAGGGGUUUCCGACGAUGCUGUUCUACACCCCCCUGCACACGGAGGGGCUCGAGUACAACGGCCCUCGCGAGUCGUACCUUCUGGACAGCUUUGUGUUUCAGUUCUCGUAGGGCCGGAGCGUGUAUCCGCGCGCGCAUGCGUGGGCGCGUGCGUUGAGGGAUUCAUGGCCGGGCUAUCCCUAUCGUGCUUCAGCACACGACGCGGGCGCAUCCACACGCACAUCACGCGCGUGUGGCGAAGGUAGUCUGCUGGCGCGUCAGAUAUGGAUCAUUGUAUGCGUGCGGGCCGAG
rnacentral:misc_RNA from 1 species